GGGGCUGUAGCUCAGUUGGGAGAGCGCCAGAAUCGCACUCUGGAGGUCGGCGGUUCGAGCCCGCUCAGCUCCACCA
rnacentral:tRNA from 1 species